rnacentral:rRNA from 1 species
GAUCCUGGCUCAGGAUGAACGCUAGCUACAGGCUUAACACAUGCAAGUCGAGGGGCAGCAUGUGGUGCUGCAACCAAUGAUGGCGACCGGCGCACGGGUGAGUAACGCGUAUCCAACCUUCCCCUUAGUAGAGGAUAGCCCGGCGAAAGUCGGAUUAAUACUCUAUGUUCUUCAAUGCGGACAUCUAAGUUGAAGCAAAGAUUUAUCGCUAAGGGAUGGGGAUGCGUCUGAUUAGGUUGCAGGCGGGGUAACGGCCCACCUGGCCUACGAUCAGUAGGGGUUCUGAGAGGAAGGUCCCCCACACUGGUACUGAGACACGGACCAGACUCCUACGGGAGGCAGCAGUGAGGAAUAUUGGUCAAUGGGCGCGAGCCUGAACCAGCCAAGUAGCGUGCCAGGACGACUGCCCUAUGGGUUGUAAACUGUCUUUUAUCAGGGAAUAAAGUGAGGCACGCGUGCCUUUUUGUAUGUACCUGGUGAAUAAGGACCGGCUAAUUCCGUGCCAGCCGCAGC